AGGGUUUGCUUGCAGACAGAGGCUGACACACACUGAGCUGAGCUGCAGCGUUCACGUUCAGGACGUCCAGACUGCAGCUUUCCCACAUGCUGCACAAACAUGGAGCUGCUCACUCCAGAGCCGUAGGACUGCAUGCCCCCAGUUAUAUUAAUCUUUUCAUUUCUGUGCAGCUCACACCCCUUCUCAGCCAUGGCAAAAAUAAAAGAAAUGUGCUAACAGGAUAAUUUGAAAUGAGAAAAUGGAACCGAGGGAGCUUGUGAAAGAGGAGAUCCUUGAGACAAAGCGCAGUGCCAGCCAGAAGCUCAGCCUCGGAUACCUGCACGUGGCCGUCAGACAGAAGAUGGGCAUGAAGACGAGAGCAGAGACAGACCCUACAUUGCACCAAGGCCACGUCAGCUAUGCAGGAGACAGUGGACCUGCAAAUGCAACAAGAAACAGGAAGCUCUUCUUUAACGUCCGUUGUUGCCUUCGUCCUCCCAGCGGCUUCUCCUGCAAGAAGAUGUGGAUGAAGAUCAAGUGAGCACCAGGCUGCCGCCAUAUGUGCAGGAACACCUGCAGAAUAAAAAGUCCUGUUCACCAG
ensembl:lncRNA